UACGUAGGGUGCAAGCGUUAUUCGGAAUUACUGGGCGGAAAGCGUGCGCAGGCGGUUUUGUAAGUCUGACGUGAAAUCCCCGGGCUCAACCUGGGAAUUGCGUUGGAGACUGCAAGGCUAGAAUCUGGCAGAGGGGGGUAGAAUUCCACGUGUAGCAGUGAAAUGCGUAGAGAUGUGGAGGAACACCGAUGGCGAAGGCAGCCCCCUGGGUCAAGAUUGACGCUCAUGCACGAAAGCGUGGGGAGCAAACAGG
rnacentral:rRNA from 1 species